rnacentral:rRNA from 1 species
AGGAUAGCCAUUGGAAACGAUGGAUAAAACUGGAUAGGAUAUAGAGGAAGAAUCUUUUAUAUUUAAAAGAGAGAUCUGCUUAAGGAGGGGCCUGUGGCGCAUUAGCUAGUUGGUGGGGUAAGGGCCUACCAAGGCGAUGAUGCGUAGCCGGACUGAGAGGUUGAACGGCCACAAUGGAACUGAGAACGGUCCAUACUCCUACGGGAGGCAGCAGUAGGGAAUUUUCGGCAAUGGGGGGAACCCUGACCGAGCAACGCCGCGUGAACGAAGAAGUUAUUCGUAAUGUAAAGUUCUUUUAUCAGGGAAGAAAGAGGAAUUUGACGGUACCUGAGGAAUAAGCUCCGGCUAACUACGUGCCAGCAGCCGCGGUAAUACGUAGGGAGCGAGCGUUAUCCGGAAUUAUUGGGCGUAAAGGGUGCGUAGAUGGCAUAGUAAGUCUUUUGUAAAAAUGCUGGGCUCAACCCUGUAGGGCAAAAGAUACUGCAAAGCUAGAGUAUGACAGAGGCAAGUGGAACUACAUGUGUAGCGGUAAAAUGCGUAAAUAUAUGUAAGAACACCAGUGGCGAAGGCGGCUUGCUGGGUCGAUACUGACAUUGAGGCACGAAAGCGUGGGGAGCAAACAGGAUUAGAUACCCUGGUAGUCCACGCCCUCCACAAUGGGUACUAAGUGUUGGUGAGAAUCAGUGCUGAAG